rnacentral:rRNA from 1 species
AUUGAACGCUGGCGGCAGGCCUAACACAUGCAAGUCGAACGAGUGGCGGACGGGUGAGUAAUGUCUGGGAAACUGCCUGAUGGAGGGGGAUCACUACUGGAAACGGUAGCUAAUACCGCAUACCAUCAGAUGUGCCCAGAUGGGUUUAGCUUGUUGGUGGGGUAACAGUUCACCACGGCGACGAUCCCUAGCGGGUAUGAGAGGAUGAGCAGCAACACUGGAACAGAGACACGGUCCAGACUCCUACGUGUGGCAGCAGUAGGGAAUAAUGCACAAUGGGCGCAAGCCUUAUACAGCCAUGCCGCGUGUAUGAAGAAGGCCUUCGGGUUGUAAAGAACUUUCAGCGGGGAGGCGUUACCCGCAGAAGAAGCACCGGCUAACUCCGUGCCAGCCGCCGCGGUAAUUC